UUCGCCAGCCACGAGUGUCGGCGUGUGUUGCCAAGCGGAAGUCGCCCUUAAGAGCAUGUGGGUUCUUCGCGGGCCUGAAUCUGGGUCAGGAGCGUAAUAUUGGUCACGAGCGCUCGGGGAACCUACAUACACACACACGCACGCGAACACACACACACGCACCUCCUCUCCUCCCCGAGACCAACUCACUGUCACACGUAAACACGAAGCGAGGAGGCGGGUCACUCGGAACAGCUCGGCGCGACGUGGAAGCCGAAGCCGACGCCGCAGACGAAACCGAAGCCAAAGUCGUCUGUGCUGUGAUUGUGGCGACUUUAGGAUGGUGACAUAGUGAUCUCUCUCCGUGGCCUGGAUGGUCUUGCUGCCAAACCAAGUCCUGGGCUUUAGAGCGAAGAGGGAGACGGCAAAGACGGCGAAAAGUCAUCUGCUUCCGCUUUUCCGCAAGGCCCGUGGACAUCUGCUGUGGACUUCGCUGGCCUGUCGUCUGCUGGAGCCACAUAUCCUUUUGCAAGAAUGGACUGCUUAUUUUUUCACGAGAUUUUUUUAAUGAUUAUCGUCGUGAAACUGACAGAAUGUCGCAGAUCAGGCGUCUCGCUGAGGAGGUGAAUCUUUACACAAAGGACUUCUUGUUUUUGUCUGACAACACCAUGUUUUCUUCUGGACUUCAUGAUGCAGGGAAUCAGAGGUCCCUUGACAGAGCUGUGCAUCCUCUAUGGCUCUGCCUCUGCCCCCACGCCUCGGUUGAUUCAGCCAGCGAGGGCCCCGCGUCUUACGAGUGUGGAGGACGAGGGUGACAGGGUAACUGGGGAAAGGUCUUUCUCUCUCUCUCCCUCUCUGUCCUUGUGGUUUCUCGCAAUGGCAUUUCCGCGUGUUGAUAUACCGCAGCUUCUCAUAUGAGUCUAGUUGAUUAUUUUUGACUCGUUUCGUAUGUCUUCCCGAAUUCGACCGGACGAGAGAAGCAUGCUAACAAGGCCUUUUGUUCGAAGGCUGGCGAAUGGUUUAGUGCGUUAUUCAACCGGUUAGAGCUACCCGAAUGGCCGAGACUGAAAAGACGAUUUUGAUCCUGUAUGUACUGGGAUCGUGUCGUCUUUCUUAUCCCUUUUCCCAGCUGGUUCUUAACCGAGGUCUUUUUAAGUCCAUUCCAAGAGGCUUGCCUACCUAAUAACGUCCGACUUACGGGCACCAUUGCCAGUCAAAACAUACGAGCUUAUAACAGAGUUUCUCCUCUGUGUAGAGAGAGCACUUCGGUAUUCAAAUGCACUCUUUUCCACACUCCAUUUAACGAUGAAAAUUCCUAAAAACAACACAUAACCUGAGAAAAUUCUAGUCAAACCGGUAUGAUCUAGGACAAGACGCUCUGCGAUUUGUUUACGUGACUGAAAAGUAAUAGAUAGUGCUGAAGGACGUGUCGGUGCUUCGACAAUUUUACAGUACCUUUGACUUAAGUGACGAGAGAAUUUGCUUUAUAAUACAGCCACUCCUUGUAUUUAUUUUGUACUCAUGUGUCGUACGGUAUUCUAUGUUUAUAAUGGCUCGCUCUCACGUAGCGCACAAAAGAAAUAUUUUUGGAACACAAAAUCCAAGACUCUGAUUAACUAUAAGUUUUCCCACUGUUGACAGCAGCUUUAUUUUCUAAAUCUAUUUAUUGAUUGAUAUGGACGCAUUCUUGGUAGUGCUGACAGAUUUAUUUAUUUUGCUUAUAGUGCAUAGACGUGUUCAGACAUGUUAGAAAUAGAAGUACAAUUUUUCGAUAGAUUAUCCUGUAUGGUAUUUUAUUUUGUUAAAUCAGCAAGCAUUGCAUAUGCUACUUGAAGAGAUAACAAUUCGCUUCGGGUUAUGGUUGUUAUGAUAAAAUUUAGUGCUAGGAUAUUUUAUUUGUUUGUUUCUGUUUAGAACUUUCUCCCUGACGUUCAACUCAGUACAAAACGACUUUCCUAACGACUGUAGGGUGUGACCUCAUUACCGUGACUCACCAGCUCAUUAAGGACUGACUUCCGGUCGUCAAGCAAUUAGAAAUGCGAGGGAUAAUUAACCUAAUGAACAACAUUGCUGACGACCGUUCAAUAGGUGACAGCGUGACGCGGUUUAACAUUAGACUGACUGCGACAUUUUAUUGCUGAUAAAGAUAAGAUAAUUUCCUUACUUUGAGACUUAAUGGUGACAAUCGAUACACACAACAGUGUUAGUGACGUUCUCUCGUAUGACAUGACUGACUUCGUUACAGGACUUGGCACCAGUUUUUCAAAAAGCCUUUUAUUUGACAAUUUCGGGAACGAUAUAACUAUUUAUGACAUCACAUUAUAACUUGAUAAUGACUGACAAAACUUUAUAUCAAGAGCGACAAUAUAGUUACGGUUAUGAUAGUGACAAACUUGAAUAGGACUUGAUAACGACACUUUACGAGACAGUGACCUGACGGUGACAUCUCUCUUGCUUCUUAUAACUGACAUUUCGAGUUAAGCCUUUUGAUGGCGACAGCUGACGUGGGUCGAUAGUAACGACUUACAAAACCUAAGAUAUUCUGACGAAAGACCCAGCACUUUGAUAACAAGAGCCUCGCAAUUCUUUUGACAGUGACAGUGAAAGAAGACUUGAAAACGACGUUUGACAGUGACGUCGUUUUAGCAAGACCUAAAAUACGUUAGGAUAUGACAUCUCACCAGACUUGACAGCCCCAAUUUUAAUUCUACAGACGAUAACGACAGAUUAGAGAAGAACUUUGUGACUUUGGUGGUAACAGACUAACAGAUUCAACUGCGACACACCCAUCACGAGAAAGUUAUCUGGCCCAAAUUACUCCAUCAGCGUCUCAAACUUUCUAACCAAUGACUUCUAAUUGUAAUGUUGAUGAUGAUGACGAAGAUGGCGAGCAAAUUGCAGACGAUAAUGACAUCAUUCAAUUCAGCUAGUGGUGAUAUGAUAGUUAGGACGGCCUCGUAACGGACCCACUGACGGUGACAAAUAGCUCUCACGUUCAUGACUGUGACAACCCAAUUUCAGACUGAAUGUUGAUAAUUGGCGAUGACUGCCUUAGUCUGUAAAGUGACAACGCGUCUUAAUUUCUGAUAAUUACUUUACCCCUCACAGGUUUAAUGACCUUGAUGACUCCAUACGAACGGACAAGACUUAUAAGAUUGUAACUCUACUGAACUCUAACAUCCCUAACUCAUGACGUUUUGAUAUGGAUGACAAGGUGACUAGUGACUAACUGCCUUCAUUCUAGUAACGUCUCAUCAAACAUUACUCAUGGACAGUUCAUCAUCAUCCUCCCAUGACAUUAUUAUCAGCUUCAGUAUCUAAACCAUUAGAUUACGGUCACAAAAAUAAUAAUAAAAAUAAAAUAGGUAAACAGACGAAACACGACAAGACCAUCGUAAUUUUAAAUGUCAAAAUACCAUCAAAAAUAUGAGAUGGCAGCUCGACGUUCGAUUUAUAGAGAAAGGGGCUAUUAAGCACUUUUGCUAGAGAAAAAAUAUCUAUUUUUUUAAUUUAAUAUUUUUUAAUGACCGGCGAUAACGUUCUUCAAUAAAUAACGUUCAUUCGACAGACAGUUGAGACAAAACUCAAUUUUUUUUUUGAAGACUCAUCAUCAGAUCAGAUGUGUGACAGUGAUAGACAAUUUGACACCUGACAGUGAAUUUGACAAAUGACAACACGGUCAUGUAAACCUAUUUGGCUUAUACAUACAUACAUAUAUAUAUAUAUAUAUAUAUAUAUAUAUAUAUAUAUAUAUAUAUAUAUAUAUAUAUAUAUAUAUAUUUAUAUGCUUUAUUUAAGCAACUACCAAUCAACAAACUGGUGAUAGUUCCAUUCAGCUUCGUGAUGGUGACAAAAGGCUGGACCAUCAGACUACUAACUGUGACGUCUUUUCUUACAGUGUCAUGACAGACCUGAUAGUGAUAUUUUGUUCAUAGACUUAGUAGUGACUGAUUCUAAAGACACGUUUAGAUUAUUACUAGUGACACUUACUUAAGACCUGAGACUGUAAAACUAGUGGUUUGCAAAUCGGUCACUAUUAAACUGCCAAUUAUGACAAAAACUUAUGGACUUCCAGUUCACUACCAGCUAGACGGGUAAUCUACAACACGCCUAGUAAGAGCUCGCAGCACAUUAAUUCAAAUAGCUUUUCAGUGAGUAUUCAUUCGAGAGGGGAUAAGUUGUGUUGAAUUGGAGGACUUCUAGAUGUGCUAAUAUUAAUGCCAGGCUUGUUUUAUUUAAUACGAAAGGUAAAAAAUGACGGUUAUUAAUAACGAUUUACUGUCUCAAAAUAUGAAACUGACUUCAUAGUGGCAGUAGUAUCCUAUUUUACUUCUAUAGUGACACUUGACUAUAUGACUACGCAGUGACAGAAGAUACGGUGACUAUUUGACUUUAGGGUAAAAAAUACUGACACUGAUUUACAAUCGCCACAUGAUUACUUACAGGGACUUUGCAACCAGACUGUUGUGACAGCCAUUGUGACAAAUAUUUAUAGACGAAAUCUUAAAUUAUCAUAAUGACAAUUAAUUUUCAAGUAACAAACUGGAAAAAGGUGACAAUAGGACACUGACAGACUAGUGACAGAUUCAUUUCAAUUUUUUAGCGACACUGAGACUUCAUCUCUUGACAGGUGACAGCCAACGACUGCCUGGUAUUUAACAAACAGUGGACAUGACCAAAGUUGCUUCACACUGACCUAACAAGUCACUGCCACGACUCAUUUGCUAAGAUCUCAGGGAACUUGGCAACUACAAUUACCAUGUCGACCGUUAAUUACCAUAAUUUUUAACUAAUAUGAUCACUAAUUACCAUGGCCAUUUAUUACCAUUACAACUACACAAGACUUGACACCCACUGACACUUCCGACUUGAACACCUGGUACCUGGUUUGACACCUGACUUAACAGCCCACUUGAAACAUGACUUUUUUCUAGCCACAUGACCAGUCGCUUGUUCAACAACUUGACAGCUUGUUAUAUUGACCAACUAAAACUCGACAGCUUACCAGCUAGA